rnacentral:rRNA from 1 species
AUUGAACGCUGGCGGCAUGCUUUACACAUGCAAGUCGAACGGUAACAGGCCGCAAGGUGCUGACGAGUGGCGAACGGGUGAGUAAUGCAUCGGAACGUGCCCAGUCGUGGGGGAUAACGCAGCGAAAGCUGUGCUAAUACCGCAUACGAGCUAUGGAUGAAAGCGGGGGACCGUAAGGCCUCGCGCGAUUGGAGCGGCCGAUGUCAGAUUAGGUAGUUGGUGGGGUAAAGGCUCACCAAGCCAACGAUCUGUAGCUGGUCUGAGAGGACGACCAGCCACACUGGGACUGAGACACGGCCCAGACUCCUACGGGAGGCAGCAGUGGGGAAUUUUGGACAAUGGGCGCAAGCCUGAUCCAGCAAUGCCGCGUGCAGGAAGUAGGCCUUCGGGUUGUAAACUGCUUUUGUACGGAACGAAACGGCGAGCUCUAAUACAGUUUGCUAAUGACGGUACCGUAAGAAUAAGCACCGGCUAACUACGUGCCAGCCGCCGCCGUAA